rnacentral:rRNA from 1 species
UACGGAGGGGGCUAGCGUUGUUCGGAAUUACUGGGCGUAAAGCGCACGUAGGCGGCUUUGUAAGUUAGAGGUGAAAGCCCGGGGCUCAACUCCGGAACUGCCCUUGAUACUGAGGAUCUUGAGUUCGGGAGAGGUGAGUGGAACUGCGAGUGUAGAGGUGAAAUUCGUAGAUAUUCGCAAGAACACCAGUGGCGAAGGCGGCUCACUGGCCCGAUACUGACGCUGAGGCACGAAAGCGUGGGGAGCAAACAGG